GACGAACGCUGUCGGCGUGCUUAACACAUGCACGUCGAACGAAGUGGCGAACGGGUGAGUAACGCGUAAUCAACCUGCCCUUCAGAGGGGGACAACCGUUAGAAACGACUGCUCAUACCGCAUACUGAAGGAGGGGAUUGCUUCUGAUUGGCUGGUUGGAGGGGUAACGGCCCACCAAGGCGAUGAUCAGUCGCCGGUCUGAUGGGAUGAACGGCAACAUUGGGACUGAGACACGGCCAAGACUCCUACGGGAGGCAGCAGUGGGGAAUCUUCCGCAAUGGACGAAAGGCUGACGGAGCAACGCCGCGUGAGUGAUGACGGCCUUCGGGUUGUAAAGCUCUGUUAAUCGGGACGCGGUACCGGAAUAGAAAGCCACGGCUAACUACGUGCCAGCCGCCGCGGUAAUAC
rnacentral:rRNA from 1 species